GCUCAGGAUGAACGCUAGCUACAGGCUUAACACAUGCAAGUCGAGGGGCAGCAUGAACUUAGCUUGCUAAGUUUGAUGGCGACCGGCGCACGGGUGAGUAACGCGUAUCCAACCUCCCGCUUACUCGGGAAUAGCCUUUCGAAAGAAAGAUUAAUACCCGAUGGUAUCUUAAGCGCACAUGCAAAUAAGAUUAAAGAUUUAUCGGUAAGCGAUGGGGAUGCGUUCCAUUAGAUAGUAGGCGGGGUAACGGCCCACCUAGUCGACGAUGGGUAGGGGUUCUGAGAGGAAGGUCCCCCACAUUGGAACUGAGACACGGUCCAAACUCCUACGGGAGGCAGCAGUGAGGAAUAUUGGUCAAUGGGCGCGAGCCUGAACCAGCCAAGUAGCGUGA
rnacentral:rRNA from 1 species